rnacentral:rRNA from 1 species
AUUGAACGCUGGCGGCAGGCCUAACACAUGCAAGUCGAACGAGUGGCGGACGGGUGAGUAAUGUCUGGGAAACUGCCUGAGGGAGGGGGAUAACUACUGGAAACGGUAGCUAAUACCGCAUACCAUCAGAUGUGCCCAGAUGGGAUUAGCUUGGUGGUGGGGUAACGGCGCACCAAGGCGACGAUCCCUAGCUGGUCUGAGAGGAUGACCAGCCACACGGGAACGGGGACACGGUCCAGACUCCUACGAGAGGCAGCAGAGGGGAACAUUGGACAAUGGGCGCAAGCCUGAUGCAGCGAGGCCGAGUGUAUGAAGAAGGCCGUCGGUUUGUAAAGUACUUUCAGGGGGGAGGCGUUACCCGCAGAAGAAGCACCGGCUAACUCCGUGCCAGCAGCCGCGGUAAUUC